rfam:Intoshia linei isolate Intl2013 Contig_54679, whole genome shotgun sequence.
UCCUCGGUAGUAUAGUGGUAAGUAUACUCGCUUGUCACGCGAGUGACCCGGGUUCAAAUCCCGGCCGGGGAG